UGUUUUGACUGUCAAAACAAAUAACUUUGAUGGAAUAUUACAAUGGCAAUUAUUCAUCACAAUUUCACAAUAUUACUUGUAUUUCAAUGAUUCAUCCAGGCCCAAGACAUAAAGUCUCCUGAAAGCUGUGUAGCAAUCAUUCCAUUGCUGACCCAUAGGAUGGUAAUCACAUACAUGAUUGGCUUCAUCUAGAAUCAUGGAUACCUUUCAUACCUUCUCAUCACAAGUUGGAACUAGUGGUCAACAUUGGGACAAUGCAGCCAUAAAUAACAUGGACCAAUAUUUUCAUGGAGUGAGCUUGACCUGCCAGCAGAGCUCACUGGAGCAGGGAGACAUGCCGUCAUCCUUUUGGCGCCUGACAAAGUACACUUUUUCUCUUCUAAAUAACACUACAGUAACAUCUUCUGCACAAAGUUACAUUCCUAAUUAGAUUGGUGUUAAGUGAGAACGAAUCCUAAAGAUGGUCCAAUGGGCAUGGUAUGAAGCCUCUCAUCAUCUCAGUGUGUUGAACCACCUGAUUUCUUGCAGACUUGAGAUUCAGAUCCUGCUGAAUGAUGUUAAGCAUUCGAUUAACCACAUGCAGGGGACGCUGAACACCAUGCAGGGGCAGUGUAUUGAGUUGCAGACUGCCAUGUCUAAGGUAGUGUCAGAUGAGUCUCAGAUACAGAAGAAUAAGUCUAUGAUGGUAUGGUGAUAAUGAUUGAGAUGGUGAUUAUAAUAAUGAUGACUAGCGGUACCCCACCCUAAGGGCAGUAAAUCAUUGGAUCUGAUUAAUUCAAUUCAAUGCAAUUCAAUCUUUGAGGAGUGCAACCAUAGAAAUACAAUGACUUUACACUAAUAAUAAGCUAUUGUCAACUUGCCGUCUAUGCUUAUCUUGCUCACUGUCAAUUGCUGACUGUUACCCUAUGAGUGCAACUAUUAUUGAUUUCUCACAGAAAAAUUAUUUGGUUGCAAAUGUACCUGGGGCCAUGUAAAUAAUUGUUAGGCUACUCAUUUUGAAUCCACCGGUGGCAACUUGUGUGACCAUAAAAGUCUGUGCGACUUGGCACAGUAAAAUAAUUUGGUUACUGACCUGCCCUACAUCAUAGAAGGCACUUCAAGUCGAACUAGGACAUUUUGACAUUUCUGAC
rnacentral:lncRNA from 13 species